GAUCAUGGCUCAGGACGAACGCUGGCGGCGUGCUUAACACAUGCAAGUCGAACGAGAGCGUAGAGAAAGCUUGCUUUUUCUACAAUCUAGCGGCAGACGGGUGAGUAACGCGUAAACAACCUGCCCUACGGAUGGGGACAACAGCUGGAAACGGCUGCUAAUACCGAAUACGUUCCGAAAGUCGCAUGACUAUCGGAAGAAAGGAUGGCCUCUAUUUAUAAGCUAUCGCCGGAGGAGGGGUUUGCGU
rnacentral:rRNA from 1 species